rnacentral:rRNA from 1 species
UACGUAGGGCGCAAGCGUUGUCCGGAAUUAUUGGGCGUAAAGAGCUCGUAGGCGGCUUGUCGCGUCGGGUGUGAAAGCUUGGGGCUUAACCCCAAGUCUGCAUCCGAUACGGGCAGGCUAGAGGCAGGUAGGGGAGAACGGAAUUCCUAGUGUAGCGGUGAAAUGCGCAGAUAUCAGGAGGAACACCGGUGGCGAAGGCGGUUCUCUGGGCAUUACCUGACGCUGAGGAGCGAAAGUGUGGGGAGCGAACAGG